UGGGGAAUCUUCCGCAAUGGACGAAAGUCUGACGGAGCAACGCCGCGUGAGUGAUGACGGCCUUCGGGUUGUAAAGCUCUGUUAAUCGGGACGAAUGGUUCUUGUGCGAAUAGUGCGAGGGUUUGACGGUACCGGAAUAGAAAGCCACGGCUAACUACGUGCCAGCAGCCGCGGUAAUACGUAGGUGGCAAGCGUUGUCCGGAAUUAUUGGGCGUAAAGCGCGCGCAGGCGGAUUGGUCAGUCUGUCUUAAAAGUUCGGGGCUUAACCCCGUGACGGGAUGGAAACUGCCAAUCUAGAGUAUCGGAGAGGAAAGUGGAAUUCCUAGUGUAGCGGUGAAAUGCGUAGAUAUUAGGAAGAACACCAGUGGCGAAGGCGACUUUCUGGACGAAAACUGACGCUGAGGCGCGAAAGCCAGGGGAGCGAACGGGAUUAGAUACCCCGGUAGUCCUGGCCGUAAACGAUGGGUACUAGGUGUAGGAGGUAUCGACCCCUUCUGUGCCGGAGUUAACGCAAUAAGUACCCCGCCUGGGGAGUACGACCGCAAGGUUG
rnacentral:rRNA from 1 species